rnacentral:rRNA from 1 species
CAGCCGCCGCGGUAAUACCAGCUCUCCUAGUGGUAGGGACAAUUAUUGGGCUUAAAGCGUCCGUAGCCAGCCCCUCAAGUCUCUCGUUAAAUCUAACGAUUCAAUCGCUGGACUGCUGGAGAUACUGUAGGGCUAGGGGGCGGGAGAAGCCGACGGUAUUCUUGGGGUAGGGGUAAAAUCCUAUAAUCCCGGGAAGACCACCAGUGGCGUAGGCGGUCGGCUAGCACGCGCCUGACGGUGAGGGACGAAAGCUGGGGGAGCGAACCGGAUUAGAUACCCGGGUAGUCCCAGCAGUAAACGAUGCGGGCUAGGUGUUGGAGCGGCUACGAGUUGCUUCAGUGCCGCAGGGAAGCCAUUAAGCCCGCCGCCUGGGGAGUACGGCCGCAAGGCUGAAACUUAAAGGAAUUGGCGGGGGAGCAC